rnacentral:rRNA from 1 species
AUGACGGGUAGGGGACCUGAGAGGGUGGCCCCCCACAAUGGAACUGAAACACGGUCCAUACACCUACGGGUGGCAGCAGUAGGGAAUAUUAGUAAUGGACGAAAGUCUGAUCUAGCAACACCGCGUGUGCGAAGAAGGCCUUCGGGUCGUAAAGCACUUUUUGAAAGGAAUAGGAAGGAAUGUACUUCCAGAAUAAGUCUCGGCUAACUACGUGCCAGCAGCCGCGGUAACACGUAGGAGGCAAACGUUAUCCGGAUUUACUGGGCGUAAAGCGCGUGUAGGUGGUUUGGUAAGUAGGGCGUGAAAGCUCCUGGCUCAACUGGGAGAGGACGUUCUAAACUGCCAAGCUUGAGGAUGGUAGAGGGAGGUGGAAUUCCGGGUGUAGCGGUGGAAUGCGCAGAUAUCCGGAGGAACACCAGUGGCGAAGGCGGCCUCCUGGACCACUCCUGACACUCAGACGCGAAAGCUAGGGUAGCAAACGGGAUUAGAGACCCCGGUAGUCCUAGCCCUAAACGAUGUAGACUUGGCGUCGGUGGUUUAAUCGCCAUCGGUGUCGUAGCUAACGCGAUAAGUCUACCGCCUGGGGACUACGGCCGCAAGGUUAAAACUCAAAGGAAUUGACGGGUCCCCGCACAAGCAGCGGAGCGUGUGGUUUAAUUCGAUGCUACACGAAGAACCUUACCAGGGUUUGACAUACAAGUGGUAGGAAUCCGAAAGGUGACCGACCCUUCGGGGAGCUUGCACAGGUGCUGCAUGGCUGUCGUCAGCUCGUGUCGUGAGAUGUUCGGUUAAGUCCGCUAACGAGCGCAACCCUCGCUGUGUGUUACAAGUGUCACACGGUACUGCCGAUAUUAAGUCGGAGGAAGGUGGGGAUGACGUCAAGUCAGCAUGACCUUUAUAUCCAGGGCUACACACACGCUACAAUGGUCAGCACAAUAGGUUGCCAAGUCGCGAGACGGAGCCAAUCCUCCAAAGCUGGCCUCAGUUCAGAUUGCAGGCUGCAACUCGACUGCAUGAAGUUGGAGUUGCUAGUAACCGCAGGUCAGCUAUACUGCGGUGAAUACGUUCCCGGGGAUUGUACACACCGCCCGUCAAGUCAUGG